GAGCGGUAACAGGUGUAGCUAUACAUGCUGACGAGCGGCGAACGGGUGAGUAAUGUUUCGGAAUCUGCCCAAUGGUGGGGAAUAACCAGCCGAAAGGUUGGCUAAUACCGCAUAAGUCCUACGGGAGAAAGCGGGGGAUCGCAAGACCUCGCGCCGAUGGAUGAGCCGAAACCGGAUUAGCUAGUUGGUAGGGUAACGGCCUACCAAGGCGACGAUCCGUAGCUGGUCUGAGAGGACGACCAGCCACACUGGGACUGAGACACGGCCCAUACUCCUACGGGAGGCAGCAGUGGGGAAUAUUGGACAAUGGGCGCAAGCCUGAUCCAGCAAUGCCGCGUGUGUGAAGAAGGCCUUCGGGUUGUAAAGCACUUUUAUCAGGAGCGAAAUACUACCGGCUAAUACCCGGUGGGGCUGACGGUACCUGAGGAAUAAGCACCGGCUAACUUCGUGCCAGCAGCCGCGGUAAU
rnacentral:rRNA from 1 species